rnacentral:tRNA from 1 species
GGGCCGUUAGCUCAGAUGGUAGAGCACCUGACUUUUAAUCAGGGUGUCGUGGGUUCGAGCCCCGCACGGCCCACCA